rnacentral:miRNA from 1 species
AAGGUUGUUUCAACAAGUCCGAUACAGUUGUCAUAUAACAAGAAUGUUACAAGGUUGACGACACAAGGUUGUAACAACAUUGUUAUAUCGUCACUGUAUCAGACUUGUUGGAACAACCUU